CCUACGGGUGGCAGCAGUGGGGGAUAUUGCACAAUGGGGGAAACCCUGAUGCAGCGACGCCGCGUGAGUGAAGAAGUACCUCGGUAUGUAAAGCCCUGUCAGCAGGGAAGAAAAUGACGGUACCUGACGAAGAAGCCCCGGCUAACUACGUGCCAGCAGCCGCGGUGACACGUAGGGAGCAAGCGUUAUCCGGAUUUACUGGGGGUAAAGGGGGCGUAGACGGCAAGGCAAGUCUGGAGUGAAAGGCGGGGGCUCAACCCCCGGACUGCUCUUGAAACUGCUUGGAUGGAGUGCAGGAGAGGUAAGCGGAAUUCGUGGUGUAGCGGUGAAAUGCGUAGAUAUCAGGAAGAACACCGGUGGCGAAGGCAGCCUACUGGACUGUAACUGACGUUGAGGCACGAAAGCGUGGGGAGCGAACAGGAUUAGAUACCCCAGUAGUC
rnacentral:rRNA from 1 species